rnacentral:rRNA from 1 species
GACGAACCGUGCGAACGUUGUUCGGAAUCACUGGGCUUAAAGGGCGCGUAGGCGGGUUCGCAAGUCUGUGGUGAAAGCCUCCAGCUUAACUGGAGAAGUGCCGUGGAUACUGCGAAUCUUGAGGAGGGUAGGGGCGUCUGGAACGGUCGGUGGAGCGGUGAAAUGCGUUGAUAUCGACCGGAACUCCGGUGGCGAAGGCGAGGCGCUGGACCCUUCUGACGCUGAGGCGCGAAAGCCAGGGGAGCAAACGGG